AGUGAACGCUGGCGGUAGGCCUAACACAUGCAAGUCGAACGGCAGCACAGUAAGAGCUUGCUCUUACGGGUGGCGAGUGGCGGACGGGUGAGGAAUACAUCGGAAUCUACUUUUUCGUGGGGGAUAACGUAGGGAAACUUACGCUAAUACCGCAUACGACCUACGGGUGAAAGCAGGGGAUCUUCGGACCUUGCGCGAUUGAAUGAGCCGAUGUCGGAUUAGCUAGUUGGCGGGGUAAAGGCCCACCAAGGCGACGAUCCGUAGCUGGUCUGAGAGGAUGGUGAGCCACAAUGGAACUAGAACACGGUCCAGACUCCUACGGGAGGCAGCAGUGGGGAAUAUUGGACAAUGGGCGCAAGCCUGAUCCAGCCAUACCGCGUGGGUGAAGAAGGCCUUCGGGUUGUAAAGCCCUUUUGUUGGGAAAGAAAAGCAGCAGGUUAAUACCCCGCUGUUCUGACGGUACCCAAAGAAUAAGCACCGGCUAACUUCGUG
rnacentral:rRNA from 1 species